rnacentral:misc_RNA from 1 species
GAUGAAGAACGCAGCGAAAUGCGAUACUUGGUGUGAAUUGCAGAAUCCCGUGAACCAUCGAGUCUUUGAACGCACAUUGCGCCCCCUGGUAUUCCGGGGGGCAUGCCUGUCCGAGCGUCAUUGCUGCCCUCAAGCACGGCUUGUGUGUUGGGCCUCCGUCCUCCUCCCGGGGGACGGGCCCGAAAGGCAGCGGCGGCACCGCGUCCGGUCCUCGAGCGUAUGGGGCUUCGUCACCCGCUCUUGUAGGCCCGGCCGGCGCUUGCCGACACAUCAAUCUUUUUUCCAGGUUGACCUCGGAUCAGGUAGGGAUACCCGCUGAACUUAAGCAUAUCAAUAAGCGGAGGA